AGAGUUUGAUCCUGGCUCAGGACGAACGCUGGCGGCGUGCUUAACACAUGCAAGUCGAACGAUGAAGCCCUUCGGGGUGGAUUAGUGGCGAACGGGUGAGUAACACGUGGGCAAUCUGCCCUUCACUCUGGGACAAGCCCUGGAAACGGGGUCUAAUACCGGAUACAACCACUGACCGCAUGGUCGGGUGGUGGAAAGCUCCGGCGGUGAAGGAUGAGCCCGUGGCCUAUCAGCUUGUUGGUGAGGUAAUGGCUCACCAAGGCGACGACGGGUAGCCGGCCUGAGAGGGCGACCGGCCACACUGGGACUGAGACACGGCCCAGACUCCUACGGGAGGCAGCAGUGGGGAAUAUUGCACAAUGGGCGCAAGCCUGAUGCAGCGACGCCGCGUGGGGGAUGACGGCCUUCGGGUUGUAAACCCCUUUCAGCACAGACGAAGCGCAAGUGACGGUAUGUGCAGAAGAAGGACCGGCCAACUACGUGCCAGCCGCCGCGGUAAUUC
rnacentral:rRNA from 1 species